AGUCCCGGUUCCCCGCCAUGAGCACGACCUGUGUGAGAGCACAGGGUAUCUGGGCAGAAGGAAAACUAGGGGAGCCUCAUCCAGCGCUGGAGAUGGAGAAGCUUUGGGCUUCUCGACGGCGAGGCACCCGGGGAACGGGGAGUCACUUAGAACCUCAAAGUAGCCUCGGGCGAGAACAAGCGAAGCAAUUCCAAGCUCUACCAGGUCACGGAGGGCGCGAAACCCGCCCCGCGCUCCGGCCGGCCGGCAGGGGGCGCGCGCUCCCCGAACUCCCGCGCACCGCGGAGGAGGCGGCCCUGGCGCGGGGAAGCAGUGGGAAAAUCGCAAGGAAGCCGGCGAGGGGUCUCCCCGCCGCGGUGGCUGCCCGGCCCCAAGGACAGGAGGGAUUUGUGCACUGACUCCUGACCCCGUCCUCCAGCGCUGCUCUGAAGGGAGAGUCUGUGCAGUGGCACCUGCGCGAAGCUGGCCAAAGCCUGCCCAGACGGCUCACCUGUGCGGGAUGGAACAAAAGGCUGGAGUACAAUGGCAUGAUCAUGGCUCACUGCAACCUCCGCCUCCAGGGUUCAAGCAAUUCUCCCGCCUCAGAGUCCUGAGUCGCUGGAACUACAGAUGCACACCACCAUGCCUAAUUUUUCUACUUCUAGUAGAGAUGAGGUUUCACCAUGUUGGUCAGACUGGUCUUGAACUCCUGACCUCAGAUGAUCUGCCCGCCUUGGCUUCCCAAAGUGCUGGGAUUACAAGCAUGAGCUACUGUGCCCGGCCUUUUUUAUUUUUUUGAGAUAGAGUUUUGCU
rnacentral:lncRNA from 1 species